CCGACGGUGAGAGGUGAAAGCUGGGGGAGCAAACCGGAUUAGAUACCCGGGUAGUCCCAGCCGUAAACGAUGCUCGCUAGGUGUCUGGGAUGGUGCGACCGUUUCGGGUGCCGCAGGGAAGCCGUGAAGCGAGCCACCUGGGAAGUACGGCCGCAAGGCUGAAACUUAAAGGAAUUGGCGGGGGAGCACUACAACGGGUGGAGCCUGCGGUUUAAUUGGACUCAACGCCGGAAAACUCACCUGGGGC
rnacentral:rRNA from 1 species